rnacentral:rRNA from 1 species
GAUGAACGCUGGCGGCGUGCCUAAUACAUGCAAGUCGAGCGAACAGACGAGGAGCUUGCUCAUCUGACGUUAGCGGCGGACGGGUGAGUAACACGUGGAUAACCUACCUAUAAGACUGGGAUAACUUCGGGAAACCGGAGCUAAUACCGGAUAAUAUAUUGAACCGCAUGGUUCAAUAGUGAAAGACGGUUUUGCUGUCACUUAUAGAUGGAUCCGCGCCGCAUUAGCUAGUUGGUAAAGUAACGGCUUACCAAGGCAACGAUGCGUAGCCGACCGGAGAGGGUGAUCGGCCACACUGGAGCUGAGACGCGGUCCAGACUACUACGGGAGGGAGCAGUAGGGAAUCUUCCGCAAUGGGCGAAAGCCUGACGGAGCAACGGCGCGUGAGUGAUGAAGGUGUUCGGAUCGUAAAACUCUGUUAUUAGGGAAGAACAAAUGUGUAAGUAACUAUGCACGUCUUGACGGUAACUAAUCAGAAAGCCACGGCUAACUACGUG